CACAAUGCACAGCGACAGAGGGUAUAUUUUUGGCACGUGACUUCCGCUCUGUCCUUCUCGCUCUUGAUCCUGUGAGGUGGCUUGCAUGUCGUACAAGUCGUGUUCUCGUUCAGCUGACUUCGGGAUGAAGGCCUCCCAGUGGAAUGAAAUCGGAGCCGUAGACGUGGGAUGAAACGAACAGUACUUUGUGUCCUUGGAAUUAGAAUUACUUUGCAACAUUUGGCUAUGUCGUGAUAUCAGCAAUGACUCUCGAUUGGAACUCAAGUGGUAAAUGCAGCAGUUGACUGGCUUUGGGCUGGCCCGACUUCAGUGACUUGGGCCCCUGAUGACGGAUUCCCUUUCAGUGAUUUGGGCUCCGUGUGGUGAUUGGAGACUUUCCAUACUUCACAGGCGACUUGGAUUGUGCUGGUUAUUUUUUAUUUUUUUGUCCUGUCAUUUUUUUUUUUACGAGUGUCUUGUAUCUGUUAAUUAAAUUGAAUGUGU